rnacentral:rRNA from 1 species
AGAGCGAACGCUGGCGGCAUGCUUAACACAUGCAAGUCGCACGGUCAGCAAUGGCAGUGGCGGACGGGUGAGUAACACGUAGGAAUCUAUCCUGGGGUGGGGGACAACAGUGGGAAACUACUGCUAAUACCGCAUGAUACCUGAGGGUCAAAGGCGCAAGUCGCCUUGGGAGGAGCCUGCGUCUGAUUAGCUUGUUGGUGGGGUAAAGCCUACCAAGGCUACGAUCAGUAGCUGGUCUGAGAGGAUGAUCAGCCACAUUGGGACUGAGACACGGCCCAAACUCCUACGGGAGGCAGCAGUGGGGAAUAUUGGACAAUGGGCGCAAGCCUGAUCCAGCCAUGCCGCGUGAGUGAUGAAGGCCCUAGGGUUGUAAAGCUCUUUUGUGCGGGAAGAUAAUGACGGUACCGCAAGAUAACGCCCGGCUAACUUCGUGCCAGCAGCCGC